UCAGAACUAACGGGGCUAGAUUUG
rnacentral:piRNA from 1 species